UCUUUAUGGGGUGACUGCGUACCUUUUGUAUAAUGGGUCAGCGACUUAUAUUCUGUAGCAAGGUUAACCGAAUAGGGGAGCCGAAGGGAAACCGAGUCUUAACUGGGCGUUAAGUUGCAGGGUAUAGACCCGAAACCCGGUGAUCUAGCCAUGGGCAGGUUGAAGGUUGGGUAACACUAACUGGAGGACCGAACCGACUAAUGUUGAAAAAUUAGCGGAUGACUUGUGGCUGGGGGUGAAAGGCCAAUCAAACCGGGAGAUAGCUGGUUCUCCCCGAAAGCUAUUUAGGUAGCGCCUCGUGAAUUCAUCUCCGGGGGUAGAGCACUGUUUCGGCAAGGGGGUCAUCCCGACUUACCAACCCGAUGCAAACUGCGAAUACCGGAGAAUGUUAUCACGGGAGACACACGGCGGGUGCUAACGUCCGUCGUGAAGAGGGAAACAACCCAGACCGCCAGCUAAGGUCCCAAAGUCAUGGUUAAGUGGGAAACGAUGUGGGAAGGCCCAGACAGCCAGGAUGUUGGCUUAGAAGCAGCCAUCAUUUAAAGAAAGCGUAAUAGCUCACUGGUCGAGUCGGCCUGCGCGGAAGAUGUAACGGGGCUAAACCAUGCACCGAAGCUGCGGCAGCGACGCUGAUGCGUUGUUGGGUA
rnacentral:rRNA from 1 species